GAGUUUGAUCUUGGCUCAGAUUGAACGCUGGCGGCAUGCCUUACACAUGCAAGUCGAGCGGCAGCGCGGGGGCAACCCUGGCGGCGAGCGGCGAACGGGUGAGUAAUACAUCGGAACGUGUCCAGUAGCGGGGGAUAACCUCUCGAAAGAGAGGCUAAUACCGCAUACGACCUACGGGUGAAAGCGGGGGACCGCAAGGCCUCGCACUAUUGGAGCGGCCGAUGUCGGAUUAGCUAGUUGGCGGGGUAAAAGCCCACCAAGGCGACGAUCCGUAGCUGGUCUGAGAGGACGAUCAGCCACACUGGAACUGAGACACGGUCCAGACUCCUACGGGAGGCAGCAGUGGGGAAUUUUGGGCAAUGGGGGCAACCCUGAUCCAGCCAUGCCGCGUGAGUGAAGAAGGCCUUCGGUU
rnacentral:rRNA from 1 species